rnacentral:miRNA from 1 species
GGCCAGGAACGAGGCCGGGGCCGGGGCCGGGGCCGGGGCCGGGGCCGGGGCCGGGGCCGGGGCCGAGGCCGGGGCCGGG